rnacentral:rRNA from 1 species
GAUGAACGCUGGCGGCGUGCUUAACACAUGCAAGUCGAACGGAACUACUCCAAUGAGAGUCUUCGGAAAGGAUUUGGUUUAGUUUAGUGGCGGACGGGUGAGUAACGCGUGGGUAACCUGCCCUAUACAGGGGGAUAACAGUUGGAAACGACUGUUAAUACCGCAUAAGCGCACAGGAGCGCAUGCUCCGGUGUGAAAAACUCCGGUGGUAUAGGAUGGACCCGCGUCUGAUUAGCUGGUUGGCGGGGUAACGGCCCACCAAGGCGACGAUCAGUAGCCGGACAGGGAGGGUGAACGGACACAGUGGGACUGGGACACGGCCCAAACUCCUACGGGAGGCAGCAGUGGGGAAUAUUGCACAAUGGGGGAAACCCUGAUGCAGCGACGCCGCGUGAGCGAAGAAGUAUCUCGGUAUGUAAAGCUCUAUCAGCAGGGAAGAAAAUGACGGUACCUGACUAAGAAGCCCCGGCUAACUACGUG